rnacentral:rRNA from 1 species
CCUACGGGAGGCAGCAGUGAGGAAUAUUGGUCAAUGGCCGUAAGGCUGAACCAGCCAAGCCGCGUGAAGGACGAAGGUGCCAAGCAUUGUAAACUUCUUUUGUCAAGGGACAAAAUCAGGCUCGAGAGCCUGACCGAGUGUACUUUAAGAAAAAGCAUCGGCUAACUCCGUGCCAGCAGCCGCGGUAAUACGGAGGAUGCGAGCGUUAUCCGGAUUUAUUGGGUUUAAAGGGUGCGUAGGCGGACUGUUAAGUCAGCGGUAAAAGCUCGGGGCUCAACCCCGGAGAGCCGUUGAAACUGGGUGUCUUGAGAGGGCGAGAGGUAUGCGGAAUGCGCGGGGGAGCGGUGAAAUGCUUAGAUAUUGCGCAGAACUCCGAUUGCGAAGGCAGCAUAC